UCCUUCUUCUUACAAAAGCAAGCUCAGAGUGGAGCAGCCGCCAGCAGCAGCCUCACCCAUCCCAUCUGUCAGGUCUCCGGAGGGCAUCCCGAGGCCUUGUCAAGUGGCGGACCUGCACCAUCCAGGCUUGGCUCCGUGCAGCCAUGAACCCCAGGAGCCUCACAGCUAAGGUGGCCGUGACCGUCAGCAGCCACCCAGAGCCCACGUGGAGCUCCACAAAAGCUGCGCCUCAGGAGAACUGCUACUGAACCGCUACCGGCUAACGUGCCUGGCACUUCCCUGCAAAGCUGCAAGGGCAGGGGUUCCCUUUAUUUGACCAGACGCAAAGUGCUUUCUGGGCAAAAAGCUCUUUUGCCGUGACAUUUGAUGAAAACAAUAAUGGUGACUGUUUAAUAUCAUGAUCGCCUGAGGCAGAAAUUCCAAUUAGACGUAGUAAGAAGCCAGUCAACAAACUUGAAAGGAAAAACUUGGGAAGAUGUCCAGAGGAGACUUGGAAAAACUCCAGCCUACCCCAGGAAUCUGGAAGGCCAUGAGCAUGCACAGGGCUGCUUCCCGGGAAAGAACCUAACUCCUCACUUCUCUCCCCUUGAGGGUCCAUGCAAGCAGGAGUCAAGGUCAAGGCAGUGUUGCAAGCUUCCUUCCGUGAAGGCAUACCCCCAAACUGACACAGAGGCCCCUGGCAAAGAACACAAGAUUAGUGCAAGGCAUUUAAGGGAGUCUCUUACUGACGGUUACCUGAAAACCAACCUAAACAAGCACAAACAUCAGUGGCUUCAGACUUCACAGAAUUAGCCCAAGAAAAUCACUAAACAAACAGAUGACAACAAACACCACCAACAACCCCGGUGGGACACAGGAACCUAAUUUCCAGAGAUGCUGUGUCAUAUUACUGAAAAUGUCAGCUUUCUACCCCCUACCCAAAUAAUAGUAAGACAUGCAAAGAACAAGAGACUGUGGCCUGGCUGUUGUUUGAAUGUUUUUGCCCUCUCCAAAAUUCAUGCUGAAAUUUAAGCCCCAGUGCGACAGUGUGGGGAGGUGUGGCUUUAGAAGACUGACGCAGGAGAGCUCCGCCCUCCUGGAUGAGAUGCGGAGCCCCUGUGCAGGGGCUGGAAGAAGCACUUCACCCCUGUGCCUCUCCAACUUCCACCAUGUGAAGACACAGGGUGCUCCUCCCCGAGGACACGCUGUUCAAGCAGCCAUCUUGGACCAAGUCCCAGCCAAACAGUGAGCCUGCUGGCACCUUGAUGUUGGACUCCCCGGCUUCCAGAACUAUCAGAGAAACAAUUCCUGUUCUUCGUAAACUACUCAGUCUGUAGUAUUUUGGGAAAGCAGCACAA